AUUGAACGCUAGCGGGAUGCCUAACACAUGCAAGUCGAGCGAGCGGCGGACGGGUGAGUAAUGUCUGGGGACUGCCCGAUAGAGGGGGCUAACUACUGGAAACGGUAGCUAAUACCGCAUACUAUCGGAUAACCCAUAUGGGAUUAGCUAGUAGGUGAGGUAAUGGCUCACCUAGGCGACGAUCCCUCGCUGGUCUGAGAGGAUGAUCAGCGACACUGGGAGUGAGAGACGGCCCAGACUCCUACGGAGGCAGCAGUGGGGAAUAUUGCACAAUGGGCGCAAGCCUGAUGCAGCCAUGCCGCGUGUAUGAAGAAGGCCCUAGGGUUGUAAAGUACUUUCAGUCGGGAGGCGUUACCGACAGAAGAAGCACCGGCUAACUCCGUGCCAGCCGCCGCGGUAAUUC
rnacentral:rRNA from 1 species